GGAUGUGAUAAUACCAGCACUAACAUAGCAGAUCCCAUUAGAACUCUAAAGUUAAACGUGCUUGGGCGAGAUAAGUACUAGGAUGGCUGAUCACCUGGGAAGUCCUCGUGUUGCAUCCC